GCGACGGAGAUAGAGACCAGAUUGAAAAAUUGUCCAACACCCAACCCGUUAUGCGUCCCUCCACGACAGUGCAAGCAAAGCUUACCCGACGCCAAAUUCAUUUGCGAGUACAGAUAUAAAAAGGAACAUGGAACCAUAGCUCCAAAGCGUCGUGCAGACCUGCAACCGAGAGAUCAGGGCCGAGACAAGGUGCACAAAAAACGUUGCUGUCUAAUGCAAUACAACAAGGAUUGUGUUCCGAAAAUACUCCAAGAAGAGUUCGUAUGUAGUGAUCCAGAUUUUCUUGAGGUGUUCUUCGAGCAAAUACGAACUGAGUGUGGAACAUCCAAGUGGGACUGUACAGGCGUCCCUGCACCACAGUGCGAUGACGAGCAAUUAUCCAACGCGAGGAAAAUUUGCGAUUACAAAUAUGCGGAUGAGCACGGAACCAUAGC